GGCCCCUGCAGUUCCCAGGGGUGUUUUCCAUGGAAUUCUCAGUUCCCAGAGGUGUUUUCCAUGGAAUCCUCAGUUCCCAGGGCAGGUUUCCAGGGGCCCCUGCAGCUCCCAGGGGUGUUUUCCAUGGAACUCUCAUUUUCCAGGGGUGUUUUCCAUGGAAUUCUCAUUUCCCAGGGGCCCCUGCAGCUCCCAGGG